GGGACCCCGGCUCGGCUGCUCGUCACUCCGGAGGGAAUUCGCGUUGACGCUUAGGGUUUCUGCCCGGAUUCCCUGCGAGGGAUGGGGCUGAAAGGGUAGCCGAGUCCUGGAGCAAGAUAAGGAGAGGAUUCGGUGAGGAAGUUGUUGUUGAGGUAAUACUAGUUUCACCAAAUUCUUGAAUGACAAGUCCAUCUUUGGUUAUUAGACAUGAUGGUUUGCGGGUCAUCACUGGCGCAUGACUUGACGAGGCUGUUAAUACAUCAAAGCUGGGAGACUUUUUAUUUCCCACAAGACCACAAGUGAAUGUUUUAGUAGCCACUGAACAGCAGAUUUUAUGGACAAGCUUCUCUUCUGCUGUCUGCUGAGAAACAAGGCAUACUAAGGGCAGGUGUAAAGUCACUGUGAAGGAGUGGCUUUGAACCAGAAGCUACAUAUGAAAUUUCAGAAGAACAUGCAGUCACCUCCCAGCAUCAAGCUACUGCCUGUCCCCAUCCUGUACAAAAACAGAUCAUGAUGCCACAGGGCACAUCUAGAGAUUUCCUCACUGAGUGAGAAUGUGAGCUGAGACAUGAUAAGCCAGCAGCCUCCUCUUCCAGCUCCUCAUCUUGAACCUGCUCAUUUUAUCAUCCAUCAGAGAAAGCAGAUAAAAAGGUUUUCAUUUCAGAAGCACAUACACAGGAAUCCUAGAAAAUGUGCAAAAGUUCUUAAAUUCUGCCCAGACAAAAUUUCCAGACAGAAGAAGAAAACCCAGACAAAUGGUUGCCCUAACUAUAUCUAAUAACAACCUACUUCACAUUUACGUUCUAAAGGGCCCUCCACAUAAAUGAGUCAAAUCUCAUGGCCGCUGGGUGCAGGAAAUCCAAGGACGUUAUUAAGAGAAGAUACUGAGUCAUUUUUUUUUGCUAAAUAACUCCUCAGCUUGUGGCUUUAUCUAGACUUACAACUGCAGCAGUUACCACGCAUGUCAUGGUUCUACAUCCACCAUUUAUGAUGUCAACAUUGGUGCUGCUGAAUGGACAGAUGGCCAGUAAGGAUAAAAAUUAAAAAAGCUGCAACAACAGGAGCAGGGUGUCUGUGUGCCCGGCCUUCUCUGACAUCCCAAGGAUGCUCUGGCAUUGCACCACCCUUCUCUCCAAGCUGCAACUCACAGCCAUCCUGCAGAACCACUUGCUGCCAGAGCCCAGAACCCACACCCGAAUAUCCACAGCUUGCAAACAAACACAACCACAUGAUAGUAAGAUGUUCUGCAGGUAGGCCACAGACUUUGAAGCAGUUACGACAGCACUGACAUCUGAACCCAACUGGCAGGACUCUGACCUCCAAGUGCAAUAGUCCUGGUGUCACGAUGGCUGUGGCAAUCCUUCUAGACAUGCUCAACAUAUGUUUAUAAUCACAUGCUGUAACCACUUCUGUUGCUAUUUGCAAACCCAUUGUUUCUAAGUGCUAGAAAAACAAAAAGCAGAAUUGUUUUAGGGGUAAAACUGACUAAUGAUCUUACUGUGAACAAGAAGGAUUUCAAAUAAAAAAAAAAAUGGGAAUCUGAAAAUGUAAUCAUGC